rnacentral:rRNA from 1 species
AGCGAACGCUGGCGGCAGGCUUAACACAUGCAAGUCAAGCGGACCUUUCGGGGUCAGCGGCGGACGGGUGAGUAACGCGUGGGAACGUGCCUUCCGGUUCGGAAUAACCCUGGGAAACUAGGGCUAAUACCGGAUACGCCCUUAUGGGGAAAGGUUUACUGCCGGAAGAUCGGCCCGCGUCUGAUUAGCUAGUUGGUGGGGUAACGGCCUACCAAGGCGACGAUCAGUAGCUGGUCUGAGAGGAUGAUCAGCCACACUGGGACUGAGACACGGCCCAGACUCCUACGGGAGGCAGCAGUGGGGAAUAUUGGACAAUGGGCGCAAGCCUGAUCCAGCCAUGCCGCGUGAGUGAUGAAGGCCUUAGGGUUGUAAAGCUCUUUUAUCCGGGACGAUAAUGACGGUACCGGAGGAAUAAGCCCCGGCUAACUUCGUG